GAUCCUAAUAGCUCAGUGGUUGGAGUUUUAGCCUCCAACUCUAAGGUAUCGGGUUCGAAUCCUGACAAUGAUUCGGUCA
rnacentral:tRNA from 1 species